rnacentral:misc_RNA from 1 species
GAAAUGCGAUAAGUAAUGUGAAUUGCAGAAUUCAGUGAAUCAUCGAAUCUUUGAACGCACCUUGCGCUCCUUGGUAUUCCUUGGAGCAUGCCUGUUUGAGUAUCAUGAAAUCUUCAAAGUAAAUCUUUUGUUAACUCAAUUGGUUUCUACUUUGGUAUUGGAGGUUUUUGCAGCUUCACACCUGCUCCUCUUUGUUCAUUAGCUGGAUCUCAGUGUUAUGCUUGGUUCCACUCGGCGUGAUAAGUUAUCUAUCGCUGAGGACACUGUAAAAGGUGGCCAAGGUAAAUGCAGAUGAACCGCUUCUAAUAGUCCAUUGACUUGGACAAUACUUUUAUGAUCUGAUCUCAAAUCAGGUAGGACUACCCGCUGAACUUAAGC